GAUGAACGCUGGCGGCGUGCCUAAUACAUGCAAGUCGAGCGGACAGACAGUAAGCUUGCUCCUCUGACGUUAGCGGCUGGCGGGUGAGUAACACGUGGAUAACCUACCUAUAAUUCGUGGAGAACUUCGUGAAGCCGCAUCUAAUACCGCAGAAUAUGUUGAACCGCAGGGUGCAAUGGUGAAUGGCAGUUUUCCUGUCUCUUAUAGAUGAUGCCGCGCCGGAUUAGCUAGUUGGUAAGGUAACGGCUUACCAAGGCAACGAUGCGUAGCCGACCUGAGAGGGUGAUCGGCCACACUGGAACUGAGACACGGUCCAGACUCCUACGGGAGGCAGCAGUAGGGAAUAUUCGGCAAUGGGCGAAAGCCUGACGCAGCCACGCCGCGUGAGUGAUGAAGGUCUUCGGAUCGUAAAACUCUGUUAUUAGGGAAGAACAAAUGUGUAAGUAACUAUGCACGUUCUGACGGUACCCAAUCAGAAAGCAACGGCUAACUACGUG
rnacentral:rRNA from 1 species